rnacentral:rRNA from 1 species
AUACGUAGGGGGCGAGCGUUGUCCGGAAUGAUUGGGCGUAAAGGGCGCGUAGGCGGCGCGGUAAGUCUGGAGUGAAAGUCCUGCUUUCAAGGUGGGAAUUGCUUUGGAUACUGCCGCGCUUGAGUGCAGGAGAGGUUAUCGGAAUUCCCGGUGUAGCGGUGAAAUGCGUAGAGAUCGGGAGGAACACCAGUGGCGAAGGCGGGUAACUGGACUGCAACUGACGCUGAGGCGCGAAAGCGUGGGGAGCGAACAGGAUUAGAUACCCUGGUAGUCCACGCGGUAAACGAUGAAUGCUAGGUGUUGCGGGUAUCGACCCCUGCAGUGCCGGAGUAAACACAAUAAGCAUUCCGCCUGGGGAGUACGGCCGCAAGGUUGAAACUCAAAUGAAUUGACGGGG